AUACGGCCCAGACUCCUACGGGAGGCAGCAGUGGGGAAUAUUGCACAAUGGGCGCAAGCCUGAUGCAGCGACGCCGCGUGGGGGAUGACGGCCUUCGGGUUGUAAACUCCUUUCGCUAGGGACGAAGCUUUUUGUGACGGUACCUAGAUAAGAAGCACCGGCUAACUACGUGCCAGCAGCCGCGGUAAUACGUAGGGUGCGAGCGUUGUCCGGAAUUACUGGGCGUAAAGAGCUCGUAGGUGGUUUGUCGCGUCGUCUGUGAAAUUCCGGGGCUUAACUCCGGGCGUGCAGGCGAUACGGGCAUAACUUGAGUGCUGUAGGGGAGACUGGAAUUCCUGGUGUAGCGGUGAAAUGCGCAGAUAUCAGGAGGAACACCGAUGGCGAAGGCAGGUUACUGGGCAGUUACUGACGCUGAGGAGCGAAAGCAUGGGUAGCGAACAGGAUUAGAUACCCUGGUAGUCCAUGCCGUAAACGGUGGGCGCUAGGUGUAGGGGGCUUCCACGUCUUCUGUGCCGUAGCUAACGCAUUAAGCGCCCCGCCUGGGGAGUACGGCCGCAAGGCUAAAACUCAAAGGAAUUGACGGGGGCCCGCACAAGCGGCGGAGCAUGUGGAUUAAUUCGAUGCAACGCGAAGAACCUUACCUGGGCUUGACAUACACCAGAUCGCUGCAGAGAUGUAGUUUCCCUUUGUGGUUGGUGUACAGGUGGUGCAUGGUUGUCGUCAGCUCGUGUCGUGAGAUGUUGGGUUAAGUCCCGCAACGAGCGCAACCCUUGUUCACUGUUGCCAGCACGUUAUGGUGGGGACUCAGUGGAGACCGCCGGGGUCAACUCGGAGGAAGGUGGGGAUGACGUCAAGUCAUCAUGCCCCUUAUGUCCAGGGCUUCACGCAUGCUACAAUGGCUGGUACAGAGAGUGGCGAGCCUGUGAGGGUGAGCGAAUCUCGGAAAGCCGGUCUCAGUUCGGAUUGGGGUCUGCAACUCGACCUCAUGAAGUCGGAGUCGCUAGUAAUCGCAGAUCAGCAACGCUGCGGUGAAUACGUUCCCGGGCCUUGUACACACCGCCCGUCACGUCAUGAAAGUUGGUAACACCCGAAGCCGGUGGCCCAAACUUGUUAGGGAGCCGUCGAAGGUGGGAUCGGCGAUUGGGACGAAGUCGUAACAAGGUACCCGUACCGGAAGGUGCGGGUG
rnacentral:rRNA from 1 species